GGCUUGGUAGCUCAGUCGGUAGAGCAGCGCACUGAAAAUGCGCGUGUCGGCGGUUCAAUUCCGUCCCAAGCCA
rnacentral:tRNA from 1 species